UACGAAGGUGGCAAGCGUUACUCGGAAUUACUAGGCGUAAAGGGCAGGUAGGUGGUUUGGUAAGUCUAUUGUGAAAGCUCCCGGCUUAACUGGGAGAGGUCAAUGGAUACUGCCGGACUUGAGUAUAGGAGAGGUUACUGGAAUUCCCGGUGUAGCGGUGAAAUGCGCAGAGAUCGGGAGGAACACCAAUGGCGAAAGCAGGUAACUGGACUAUUACUGACACUCAGCUGCGAAAGCUAGGGGAGCAAACAGG
rnacentral:rRNA from 1 species